CUAUUUUUCGAGGUAGGUGAAACAGAUUAGCAUGGCCCCUGCACUAAGGAUGACACGCUCAAUCAAAGAGAAGCUACCAAUUUUU
rnacentral:snRNA from 1 species